rnacentral:rRNA from 1 species
GACAGCAGCGAGUUCUCACCUUGGCCGGAAGGUCUGGGUAAUCUUGUGAAACUUUGUCGUGCUGGGGAUAGAGCAUUGCAAUUAUUGCUCUUCAACGAGGAAUUCCUAGUAAGCGUGAGUCAUCAGCUCGCGUUGAUUACGU